AAAAACAUCUCCUUUUGACAUAUUUAAGGUACCGUCUGCUCAAUGCAAUUUGUAAAUAGCCGCAGUAUUCUGACUGUGCUAAGGUAGCAUAAUCAUUAGUCUUUUAAUUGGAGGCUGGUAUGAAUGACGAGACGAGAAAAUGACUGUCUCUAUAAUAAACUUUGAAUUUCAUUUCUGAGUGAAAAAGCUCAGAUAAUUUUGAAGGACGAUCAGACCCUUUGGAGCUUUAUUUACUUUAAAAAUUUGAAUUUGUUUUAAUUGAUUGAAUGGAAAGUAAAUUUUGUUGGGGCGACAGGGAGUAAAAUAUAACACUCUUUUUUUAAAACAAUCCUAAUUGGAAAAUUGAUCCUUAGAGUGAGAUUACAAGACUAAGUUACCCUAGGGAUAACAGCGUAAUCUUUUUGGAGAGUUCAAAUCGAUAAAAAGGUUUGCGACCUCGAUGUUGGAUUAAGAGAUUGGCAAGGUGCAGAA
rnacentral:rRNA from 1 species